UACGUAGGGUGCGAGCGUUGUCCGGAAUUAUUGGGCGUAAAGAGCUCGUAGGCGGUCUGUCGCGUCGGUCGUGAAAACUUGGGGCUUAACCCUGAGCUUGCGGUCGAUACGGGCAUGACUGGAGUUCGGCAGGGGAGACUGGAAUUCCUGGUGUAGCGGUGAAAUGCGCAGAUAUCAGGAGGAACACCGGUGGCGAAGGCGGCAUCCUGGACCAACACUGACGCUGAGGAGCGAAAGCCAGGGGAGCAAACGGG
rnacentral:rRNA from 1 species